rnacentral:tRNA from 1 species
GGUAAGAUGGCUGAUUAAGGCGGUAGAUUGUAAAUCUAUUUAUGGGUUAAAACUCUCUUAUCA